GAUGAACGCUGGCGGCGUGCCUAAUACAUGCAAGUCGAGCGAACAGAUAAGGAGCUUGCUCCUUUGACGUUAGCGGCGGACGGGUGAGUUACACGUGGAUAACCUACCUAUAAGACUGGGAUAACUUCGGGAAACCGGAGCUAAUACCGGAUAACAUAUUGAACCGCAUGGUUCAAUAGUGAAAGGCGGCUUUGCUGUCUCUUAUAGAUGGAUCCGCGCCGUAUUAGCUAGUUGGUAAGGUAACGGCUUACCAAGGCAACGAUACGUAGCCGACCUGAGAGGGUGAUCGGCCACACUGGAACUGAGACACGGUCCAGACUCCUACGGGAGGCAGCAGUAGGGAAUCUUCCGCAAUGGGCGAAAGCCUGACGGAGCAACGCCGCGUGAGUGAUGAAGGUCUUCGGAUCGUAAAACUCUGUUAUCAGGGAAGAACAAAUGUGUAAGUAACUGUGCACAUCUUGACGGUACCUGAUCAGAAAGCCACGGCUAACUACGUG
rnacentral:rRNA from 1 species